GACGAACGCUGGCGGCGUGCUUAACACAUGCCCUUUGAACGGAGAAUUUACUUCGGUAAAUUCUUAGUGGCGAACGGGUGAGUAACGCGUAGGCAACCUGCCCUCUUUUUGGGGACAACAUUCCGAAAGGGAUGCUAAUACCGAAUGUGCUCCCGCCUCCGCAUGGAGGCGGGAGGAAAGAUGGCCUCUACUUGUAAGCUAUCGCCAGAAGAUGGGCCUGCGUCUGAUUAGCUAGUAGGUGGGGUAACGGCUCACCUAGGCGAUGAUCAGUAGCCGGUCUGAGAGGAUGAACGGCCACAUUGGGACUGAGACACGGCCCAAACUCCUACGGGAGGCAGCAGUGGGGAAUCUUCCGCAAUGGACGAAAGUCUGACGGAGCAACGCCGCGUGAGUGAUGAAGGUCUUCGGAUUGUAAAACUCUGUUGUCAGGGACGAAUGUACUGAUUUACAAUACACUUCGGUAUUGACGGUACCUGACGAGGAAGCCACGGCUAACUACGUGCCAGCAGCCGCGGUAAUACGUAGGUGGCGAGCGCUAUCCGGAAUUAUUGGGCGUAAAGGGUGCCUAGGCGGCUGAUUAAGUUCGUGGUUAAAGCGUGGGGCUCAACCCCAUAAAGCCCACGGAUUACUGGUUCAGUUGAGUUUUGGAGGAGGGCAGUGGAAUCCAUGGGGUAGCGGUAAAAAGCGUAGAUAUAUGGAGGAACACCGGUGGGCGAAGGGGGCCUGCCUGGACAAAGACUGACGCUGAGGCACGAAAGCGUGGGGAGCAAAUAGGAUUAGAUACCUUAGUAGUCCACGCUGUAAACGAUGAAUGCUUGGUAUCGGGGCAACCCGGUGCCGAAACUAACGCGCUAAGCAUUCCGCCUGUGGAGUAUGCACGCAAGUGUGAAACAUAAAGGAAUUGACGGGGGCCCGCACAAGCGGUGGAGUAUGUGGUUUAAUUCGACGCAACGCGAAGAACCUUACCAGGCCUUGACAUCCCUUGCAAAGCUGUAGAGAUACAGUAGAGGUUAUCAAGGUGACAGGUGGUGCAUGGUUGUCGUCAGCUCGUGUCGUGAGAUGUUGGGUUAAGUCCCGCAACGAGCGCAACCCUUGUCUUCAGUUACCAAUAUCAAGUUAGGGACUCUGGAGAGACUGCCGGUGAUAAACCGGAGGAAGGUGGGGAUGACGUCAAAUCAUCAUGCCCCUUAUGGCCUGGGCUACACACGUACUACAAUGGCUGUUACAACGUGAAGCAACACUGUGAAGUGAAGCGGAACACUGAAAGACAGUCUCAGUUCGGAUUGAAGUCUGCAACCCGACUCCAUGAAGCUGGAAUAGCUAGUAAUCGCGGAUCAGCAUGCCGCGGUGAAUA
rnacentral:rRNA from 1 species